CAUAUUCGGGGGCAUCAUGUUCCCGAACACGUCGGGUGCGGAUAUGAGCAUGAGGUAUCUGCUCUUUAUUGAGGAUCUAGACCAGCUGGGAUGUUACAGUUGGGGCGCCGCUGUCCUGGCUUACAUGUACAGAGGAUUUGAUCGAGCCUCUAUGGGCGAGAGGCUUGAGGUCGCUGCAUUUAGCCCUCUUCUUCAGAUAUGAGUGUGGACUAGGUUGAGACCUUUUCAGGCCAUAGCUGCUCACCCUCCCAAUGACUAUGUUACUGAGGAUAUGCCAUACGCGCGGAGAUAGUAGCGAGGCCGUACCAGAGGUGUGGAGACGCACCAUGUCAUUCUCCCGUUUAGGCAUCAGUUAGACCGCAUGACGGCACCUGAGCUAAGUUUUUUUUAUUUAACAUUAGUUUGUAAUUUUUGUUAGUCUUUUAUUGUUAACUAGUUGAAUUCUUUUUAUAGGCUUUCAUAUGGACGCCGUAUGAUCAAAUUUUGGGUCAGCUGCCGGCGUUUUGUAGGGCUGGUGAGCACAUGUGGAUGGCACGGUAUCUAUUGAUCCAUAUGGACAUCGUUGAGCAUCAUGCGGCCGACCGCGUGUUACAACAGUUUGGGCAUGUACAGAACAUACCCGCGGCUACACGUUGGGAGCACGCCCACUAUACCAGGGACGAGCGUUCGAUAGACAAUGCGGCAUGGCGGGAGCGUAUACACCAGGAAGUCGAUGCAUGGAACGCGAGGAUGACAACUUUAGCGGCGGUCGGACAUGACACUCCGGUCCAUGAGUACAUGACGUGGUACAUGCAUAUCACUCACUCCUUGAUUGCCAACCCCUCGACGCCUCCUCCUGAUGGCCGAGGAUAUGCAUCACUCUCAGGAGCCUACGGAUAACUCUGAUCAUACACCAUGAGAGCAUUCCCCUUACGGAGUCCACCAACCCCGAGAUAGCGGCAUAUGCAACACAGAUAGUUCAGCUUACCGACACUGGUAUGACACGAGCACAGGAGUGGCAUCGUGUCGAUGAGG